rnacentral:lncRNA from 1 species
GUGCAUUUUCUAAGCCUGAACUUCUUAUGACCUAAGUAAUAUCGUUUACCCUGAAAAGAAGCAGAUACACCCUGAUACCUUAAAAAUCAGUAAUUUUUUAGGGAAUGAGAGUGAGCUUCCAUAUUACACCGGGGGUGGGGACUGGAGGAGUAAUCUGAUGGGAUUACUAAAAAAAAUUUAAAAGUGAGAUGGCACUAUUUCGGUUUUGAGUACACUUUGUUUAGAAACCACGGGGAAAGAAACAAAGUAUUGCCGAUUAUGUAUAGAUAUAAUUUAUGUUAAACCCACUUUAAAUCCUGGCACUUUCCCCCUUUUUCCUUUUAGAAAUUGACAAAGUUCUCUUUCAAGAAUUUGAAAAGCAUGAACCUUGCCCCGCCUUAUAGGACACUUUCCUGGUUCAAAUCUCUGCACCUUUUGUCGAUUUCAAGGGCGCAUCUGAUAACUUCCCGCAGGAGCCUGGACAGGCGUCCCGCAGCCAGGGCAGUCCGAGCAGCCGGG